UCUCCUACUCGAUCUGACCGAAGAAUUUUAAUACUCUUCCUAAUUUGUUUCUCUACCGCAUUACAGAAUCAUUUAAAUAUUUCAAGCAAUUUAGAUUUGUGGCACUCAUGUUUGUAGGUCCAAUACAUUAGUAUGCAUUAGACUGAGAACAUCAUUGGCUCAUUCAUCUUUUUUAAUAAAAGAUGAUUUGGUCAUCUUUUCAAGAAGACAGGACUCAC
rnacentral:lncRNA from 1 species